rnacentral:sRNA from 1 species
GCUGGGUAUGGUGGCACAUUCCUGUAAUUCCAGUGGCUCAGGAGGCUGAGGCAGGAGGAUCGUGAGUUUAAAGCCAGCCUCAGCAAAAGCCAGGCACUAAGCAACUCAGUGAGACCCUGUCUCUG